UAAUGAAUUUUGCCGAAUUUCGCUUGUGAAAACGGGGGAACCGUCUUGGGUGAAUUACUCUUGUUUCAGGAGAGUAUAGGGAACCUUCUACCGAACCUUUAGCUAACUCCGUAGGCAUCGAAGGAGAGAACGU
rnacentral:sRNA from 2 species